GAAUUAUAUUUGUGUCAAAUUAAACGAACGCAACUUUUGCAAAAACAAACAAAAAUAUACAUUGAUAAAAGAAAAAAACACUCUGAAAAUAAAAACAAUCAACUAACUAGCAAAAAAAUUAACAUCAUCUUUAAAUAUACUGCAUUCUUUGUUUAUGGUUUUCUAAGUUUCAAUUUCACUAAACAUAGUUUUGAAUGUGCUGCAAUUGUUUUCGUUUUCGCUUUCCAAGUUUUCGUUUGCGCUUCGCAAAUUUACGUUCUCCAUUUUGACACAAACCCUUCGUGAGGGGCGGGCUAAACACCGGUUCGCUGUUAUUGGCUUGUGAGAUUUUGAUUGACAGCUCAUUGAACCGGAACCCCGAAACAGAAGGUGGCGGUAGUGCACCAAUAAGCUGCAUGCCAACCGCUGUUAAAAAUAACAAGAAGAAGACGAAGAUCGGAGGCUGUUCUUCAGCGGAGCUGCAAGUAGUCUAAACAAACGGUAAUAAGAGUAUAUUAAAGAACAGUAAUGAUAAAACACGGAUAUUUUACACAUCAGCAGAAGAAUAACAACAGUUCAAGAUGAGUAAUCGAGAGGCUCACGGUCCGGAGCAUCAACACCAUCCUCCUAGGACAGACAAUCGAGGCAGCCUGAGGACCAAAGAUUGUCAUUUCUCCAGAAGAUGAACAAAGGCUUAAGGGUUUGGAACGACAUGAGGGUGAGUAAAUGACGCAGAAUUGUCUUAUUUAGGUGUAUUAGCAGCACUCUAAAAGUGAAUAUCUGCACCACAUCUGGUGGUAUUCAGCCCACCUGCCCUUAAUGUAGAAAUGCCACUAAUUUGGUUUCCAUAAUACUUCACAUGAUGAUUUACUAUGGACAAACAUUUUUUUUAAUAAGCUACGAUUUGACAGUAAUUCUCUCUUUUUUGUUUUAGAAUUGAGCCUCUAUGGUGUGAUGUUUGGUCAGCCGUCUCUUGUACUAUGAAGAACUGCAAUGGAAUAGGAGACAGUGCUUGAUUCGGCAGGUGAACUGCACCUAUUUUAUGGUGGAACAACUUUUUUAAGAGGACAUUGUUGACAUUCACAGAGGAUGAUGGUGUGGUCAUGGUGCCAGAGAUCUAUUGUCCUUUGUCAGACCAAAAGCCUUUGAUAUCACCAUUGAAUGUCCAGGAGUUAUACCAACAGACACUCGACUCGAUGUCAUGCAAAGACUGUGCUCCAUUUAAAUUGUAAAAGUCAUUUUCAGGUUUGAAAGAUGCAGAAGUUGGUUCACAGAUGAACUUUUCCUUUAAAACUAUUUCCCACCUACAAUGAAGACACAUCUCUGACUGCUGGGCUUCCCCUCUUAUUGUGUUCAGAUUCAUAUGCAUCUGCAGGGUUAUUCAUGCCAACACUUUAUAGCGUUGUGCUGGUAAUUUAUCUUUAUAUAUCAUGCCUUCUCACUGCAUCUGUCAGCCUGUGCUUUACAUAUCUGUGAGUCAACGCAGCUGAACAUGAAGGACAAAUGCAAUGCAAGACGUUAUGCAUGUUAUAUCAGCAUAUGGAUGAUUAGAUUAGAAACUGCUUUCUGUUGGUGUGUUUAAACAUCACAUGACAUAGAAAAUUUACUGUCUUCCAUUUUCUGUUGUGUAAUAAAUCAUAGGAAAAUCA